CCCUUAGAGUUUGAUCCUGGCUCAGAACGAACGCUGGCGGCGUGGAUAAGACAUGCAAGUCGAACGGGGCAUUGUGAGUAGCAAUACAAGCAAUGUUCAGUGGCGAACGGGUGCGUAACACGUGGAUACAUUCCGGGAAGCGGGGGAUAGCCCAGGGAAACUUGGAUUAAUACCGCAUGUGGUCGAAAGACUAAAGACGGGGACCGCAAGGCCUGUCACUUCCCGAUUGGUCCGCGGCCUAUCAGCUAGUUGGCGGGGUAAAGGCCCACCAAGGCUACGACGGGUAGCUGGUCUUAGAGGACGACCAGCCACACUGGAACUGAGACACGGUCCAGACACCUACGGGUGGCAGCAGUCGAGAAUCUUUCACAAUGGGGGCAACCCUGAUGGAGCGACGCCGCGUGGAGGAUAAGGUCUUCGGAUUGUAAACUCCUGUCAUGCGUGAACAAGGCUGCGAGGUUAAUACCUUUGCAGAUUGAUGGUAGCGCAAGAGGAAGAGACGGCUAACUCUGUGCCAGCAGCCGCGGUAAUACAGAGGUCUCAAGCGUUGUUCGGAAUCACUGGGCGUAAAGGGUGCGUAGGUGGCGUGGUAAGUCAGAUGUGAAAGCCUGGGGCUCAACCUCAGAAUUGCAUCCGAUACUGCUGUGCUAGAGUACUGGAGGGGUGACUAGAAUUCUCGGUGUAGCAGUGAAAUGCGUAGAUAUCGAGAGGAAUACCAAAGCGU
rnacentral:rRNA from 1 species